ACGGAGGAUGCAAGCGUUAUCCGGAUUUAUUGGGUUUAAAGGGUGCGUAGGCGGGAUGUUAAGUCAGUGGUGAAAGUUUGCCGCUUAACGGUAAAAUUGCCAUUGAAACUGACAUUCUUGAGAGUAUUCGGGGCAACUGGAAUGUGUAAUGUAGCGGUGAAAUGCAUAGAUAUUACACAGAACACCAAUCGCGUAGGCAGGUUGCCAGGUUACAUCUGACGCUGAGGCACGAAAGCGUGGGGAUCAAACAG
rnacentral:rRNA from 1 species